rnacentral:lncRNA from 1 species
ACAAGUAUUUAUGGUUAAAUUCAUCUCUGAAUCUCUUUUGGACUACGGCACUCACUACUUGCUCAUUUAAGUUUACAUUAGUAUCAACAUGCAAAUGAUAAAGACUGUAAAUCAAAAGACCAGAUGCAACCAAUUUAUUUCAUAAAUAAAUGAAAUAAACUUCUUUAUUAAAUUGAAAAAUAUAUCCAUCCUAUGCUAGUAUAGAGAUCAAGAUCAAAUUUUGGCUAGCUAUAGGAACAAAAUAACAGUCUUUUAAAUCUAAUUUAAAGCCUAACGAUAAUCGAAGAAUAUAGAUUCCAACGAUUUCUGUAG